GGCGCUUAUGAUCCUGGCUCAGUCUCUUAUCUCUGGAAAAUCUCGUUCUUGGUUAACUUAAGGCAGUAGAUUGUGAAGGACAGGAAUGCUGCUGAGACAGCUGAGGAUUUAUAACAGGGAGGUGUGAGUUAGGCAGAUGUAACAGUGUAGUGCAAAUGGCAGUGCAUUGUUGUCUAUGCAAGACUUUCUUACUUGAACUGACCAAACACUUUUUGUGCAGUUUAUUUCCCUCCAGGCUUUAGAGGGUACUACAUUACAACUAUAUGUGUGAGUGAGAUUUGAGGAUCAUCAGGCUGCUUCUAUUGGAUUCCUGUGAGCUACAAGUGGCAACAUAACUGUUCAGAGACGUGCUGCCCUCCCUCCCUCCCUCCCUCCCUCCCUCCCUUUCUCAUUCGUAUUCUCAAUCCCCUCCCUCCUCUUCUCCUCUCCUCCCUCUCUCUCUAAAUCUCAGGUUACUGUGGCAAGAGUUUUUAGACAUCUCUGACUAGUGUUUCCCUUAUGUCCUUGUCCCUGCCUCCAGCCUGGGAAGAGCCACCCAGUACCUUCUCUGAUUGGACUGGGUAGUUUGUCUUGACGCACCACUGUGCUGAGUGCUGGAGGACGUGUUUCAACAGAUGGUUGGGGUUAGUGUGUGUCAUCACAUUGGAGAACGGAUUAGAGGAGGAAGGUUGUCUUCCAGGAGCAGUGUGGUCCCCACAAACACUCUGAGGAGCUCAAGCGCGAACAACCCACAGCAAGAGAGAUCAACUCCAUGAGCAAGACUGACAUUCAGAGCCCAACAUGCAAGCCACUGGAGAGCCGUACCAUUCAAAUGAAGUGGUGCUGUGGUUUUCCUGUUUGGUUGCCAUGGUGUGAUCGAUGUGGCAGUGAAGAAAUUAGACGUAGAUCAAAGGUAGGGGAAUAGUUUUCUGCUCUUUUAAUUAAUUUUACCAAAAUGUUGUUUUUAGUCAGAUUGACAGAUAUUUUAUGAUGCAAGAGGAAGGAAUAAUAGGCCGGUCUCCAUCAUUUUUUGUGACUGUUCCAGGACCAGUAUGAAAGCCAUAAGUAAAAAAAAGUCUUAAUUGCAACUUCAGACAUUUGAUUUUUUUUGUUGUUGUUGCAAAUUUAUCUCCCUGAA
rnacentral:lncRNA from 12 species